rnacentral:rRNA from 1 species
GACGAACGCUGGCGGCGUGCUUAACACAUGCAAGUCGAACGGAAAGGCCCUGCUUUUGUGGGGUGCUCGAGUGGCGAACGGGUGAGUAACACGUGAGUAACCUGCCCUUGACUUUGGGAUAACUUCAGGAAACUGGGGCUAAUACCGGAUAGGAGCUCCUGCUGCAUUGUGGGGGUUGGAAAGUUUCGGCGGUUGGGGAUGGACUCGCGGCUUAUCAGCUUGUUGGUGGGGUAGUGGCUUACCAAGGCUUUGACGGGUAGCCGGCCUGAGAGGGUGACCGGCCACAUUGGGACUGAGAUACGGCCCAGACUCCUACGGGAGGCAGCAGUGGGGAAUAUUGCACAAUGGGAGGAAGCCUGAUGAAGCAACGCCGCGUGCGGGAUGACGGCCUUCGGGUUGUAAACCGCUUUCGCCUGUGACGAAGCGUGAGUGACGGUAAUGGGUAAAGAAGCACCGGCUAACUACGUG